CGCGGGAGAGGCAGAGCUACAGUGGAGGCGGCGGGGGCCCCAACGCCCGCAGAAGCGCGCCCCGGGACCGGCCCGUCCAUCCAGCCCGGGAGCGGAGCCCACGGGCGCGCGGCAUCCUCCGCCCGCCCACGCCGCACCGGCUUCAGUCCUGAAAACUGAGGGUCGGCCCGCGGCGGCUGACUGUGGGAUCACCCUGGACUCGAGUACGCGGGCCUCUCACUGUUGUGGCCUCUUCUGUUGCGGAGCACAGGCUCCGGACGCACAGGCUCAGCAGCCAUGGCCCACGGGCCCAGCUGCUCCGCGGCAUGUGGGGUCUUCCCGGACCGGGGAAUGAACCCGUGUCCCCUGCAUCGGCAGGCAGACUCUCAACCACUGUGCCACCAGGGAAGCCCGUAAUGAAACUGCCGGGUCAGUGUUCAGUAUUCAGACCACAGAUCCAUGACUCACCAAUAAACCACCUGCAUAAAUGAACACAGUGGAUCUCAUCUGCUGCUGGCUAUUACCCUACCUCUUGAUUCUUACUCUGUUCUGCAUCCGGAAAUUCCAUUUUCAUUUGAGGAGGUCCUGGUAAGCACAUGGAACUAACAAGCCACCACCAACCAGAAGAAUUCGGGAAAGGUCAAAAGGAGACGCCAGCCCAUAUGUCCUACCAACCUCCCAGAAUCGUCCUCGCUGGAAUCCAGCUUGGCUGAGCAAUGCGUGCACCACCAGGAAGGACCCUGAGUCAGAAUGAUCGGCCGGAGACUAACCCAGAAAUUAAUCCCAUCACCAUAAAACCUGGGACUGUGAGCCACGUGGCACAGCAGUCCUCCUGGGUUCCCUUUUCCUCCUGCUCUCCACACGGGUGCUCCUUCCCACUAAAGUCUCUUGCUUUGUCAGCA